rnacentral:rRNA from 1 species
AGCGAACGCUGGCGGCAGGCCUAACACAUGCAAGUCGAACGAACCGUUCGGGCUUAUUGGCGGUCGUGUGGGUAACACGUGGUAACGUGCCUUUAGGUUCCGAAUAACUCAGUGUAAGUUGUGCUAAUACCGAUUGUGCUCUUCGGGGGUAAGAUCUAUCGCCUUUAGAUCGGCCUGCGUCUGGUUUGCUAGUUGGUUGAGGUAAUGGCUCUCCAAGGCGACGAUCAGUAGCUGGUCGGAGAGGAUGAUCAGCCACAUUGGGACUGAGACACGGCCCAAACUCCGAGGGGAGGGUGCGGUGGGUAAUCUUGCGAUAGGGGCGAAGGUCCAACGCAGCCACGUCGCGUGAAUCAGGAAGAUCUUAGUAUUGUAAGAUUCUUUGUCAGGGAGCGUUAAUGACGGUAACCGGAGAAGAAGCCCCGGCUAACUUCGUG